ACACUCCAGAAGAACUGUUUUCAGCCCUGAAGCACAGCAGCUUGGAGGAAGGACAGUGAGCUGCCUCUCUUGAAGAGACACCCUGGCUCCAUGAGUGGGUGACGAUGGAGUGUAAUAAAAGAGAUUCACAGUAUUUCUCAAGGUCGGAGCCCAGUGGCGCAUGCCUGAGUGUCUCGGAGCACUGGUUGAAUAUGCACAUUCUUUCCAUCCUAGACUAAGAGACUCAUGAUCGUGGCUAUGGAUCUGGGCAUCAGGACGCUUAGCAAAUUGCCACAGGUGGUCCUGCGGUCUGUCCUGCCGAGGGGGCUCUGCGGUAGCUGAGCCCAGGUAGAUGACAAUCUGGGAGGAGAGACAGCCACUCCUUACUUGCACGGAAGAGAGAAGAUAUGUGCGCUGAAAACCACACCAGGCCAAGCUGCAUUUCUACCAAGCUGGAACAUCCAAGAACUUUAGUGAACUCAGACACUGGCCCUGUGUAAUCUGGAAAAGCUGCUUCUCUUCUGAAAUCACCCAGCUCCAGCCUAGCAAGAAAAUUACUGCCUGUUUUAUUUGUGAAAAAGAAAUGGACUCUUCUAAUGGUGAUCAUAGAAAUUUUCUUCAAGGAAAGCAUUGAUUUGGACUUGCAAUGAUUUUAUCAUUGACCCAGUAACCCCGGGAGUACAAGGCCUCGGAAAACCUCGCCAAGUUUAUGAGCCAAGAAAUAGCUGAAUUAUAAUGCCUGGAACUUCAAAGAGAAAGAGGAGUGAAUGAGAUAAAUGCUGAAGUCUAAGGAAAGUCUUGGAAGUUUCCAGAAAGCAUGUGGAUUGUGCCACCAGAAGAAAAGGAUGAAAUGUCUGACUUUACAAUAAUCAUGAAUGGGAUCCUGGGCCCAAUUUUCAGUGCUACAGAAAAACACAGCACAACAAAAGAAAAACCAUGAAACUCAAGAGCUGGUUAUGGAAUAUCAUGACUCUUCCCUUACAUCCAGUAAGACCUCUUAAGGGUUCAGUCAUAGCCUUUGCUCAAACCAGUUUAAGUCAUCAGGACCUCCUCUUCCUCCCUUCCUUCCCUCCUUCCUUCCUUGAUUCCUUUCUCUUUCUUUCUUCCUUCCUUUCUUUUCUUUUUUCUUUCUCCUUUCAAGUUUAAUUAUUUAUUGACAUUUUUAUUUUA